UAGUCUUAUUUUUUAUUCUUUAAAUAAUAUAAUACAAUAUUAUACAUUAUUUUUUAGAAUUGAGAAAUACAUAUAAUAUCUUAUCCGCGCGUAGCGCGGUUAAAAAAUUUAGUAAUAAUUAAAAAAGAACUAUCAAAUCACCCGGCCGUCGUAAGCAAUUAAAUAAAUAUUACUUUCUUGACAAAACAAACAAAUAAUAGCGAACAGUGACAAGCAUCACUAGAAGUCUGAAACCCUAAUUUGCAUAGCUCACAGUCUAUCAAUUAUUACGAUUGAACAUCUUCUCCAUUGACAUGUGAUCUGUACAAGCUAAAAUGCUCUAUUCAAUUUCUGAUAUCAAAGAUAAAUUGUUUCAAUCUGGAUAACGCGACCAAAAACCUAUAUGGUUGUCGAGCCAAAUAGAUUCUAAUUCUCGUUGUAUAUGUUUUCAUUGAGAGAUUCGUGUUUGAUUUUAGAAAUCAACAAUUUCUUUUUACCAAGGUCACAUGACUUUUUUUUUUUUAGAGUUUGUGUUUUUCACAUCUUGAGAAUAAUAGAAACAAAUAUCGUUUGACAAAAAAAAUAUCAAUUCGACUUUAAAGGAAACUAGAUUUUGACCCGCGCUUUCACAUUAUCUUUUAUUGAAAAAUUUACUAACCCGCUAAUUCACUAAUAUUUUUAGCCACGGGUGUUCGGUUUUGUGUUCAGUUUCAAUUUUUUUUUACUUUCAGUUUGUGCCAAUUCAGUUGUGAUCUUCGUUAUUCGGUCCAAGAGAUAAAAUAACUGUUUGAUUAUUUAUGAAUUUGGGUUUUGUUUCGGUUUGGUUACAUUAAUUUUUGGUUUGGUUAAGAUAACAACGUUAGGAAUCUGAUAAAAUUUGAGUUCAGUUCGGUUUUCGGUUCUCAUUUGUUGGAUAAUUUUGAAUAAUUCGGGUAAAAUCACAUGUUGGAUUUUGUUGGAUACAGUAUCGGAUAACUUGAAUAAAUUCAAAUAUUUCGAAUAAUUGUUUUGGGUGAUUCAGUUCUAUUGGAAAAUAACAAAAAAAAAAUAUCUUGGAUAAAAAGUAAUAGUGUAAUCCAUUGCUUGGUUUGUUCGAUUAUAAACAGUAUUAGGACUGGGCAAAAAAACUCGGAUCCAAAAACUAAACCGUACCCCCAAAAAAAUAGUAUGGAACCCGAACCGAAAUUGUUUAAAUAUCCAAAUGAGUUCAAAAUUAUGGUAGUUAGGGAACCGAAACCGAACCUGAUCCGAACCGAAGUAUUUCGGGUACCCGAUUAUAUCCGAAAUUGAUUUAUAUACCUAUAUAUAUUAAAUAUUAUUAGAUUUACUAUAUAUUAAGACCAUCAAAAUAUAUAAGAUACUUUUAAGUUAUACAAAAGUAUUUAUAUAUAUAUACAAAUAGUCAAAAGUACAUAUCUAAAAUAGCUAAAGUAUACUCAAAACACCAACAAUACUUAAAAUAUCUAUUGAUUCUCAAUCCAAAUAUUCAAACCAAACCAAUUUAUAUGUUAAUUUUAGGUACUUUGAGAUAUGCUAUUCAAAUUUAUAUGCAAUAUAUUUUUUUGUUUAUAGAUUUUGAGAAAUUUAAAGUAUAUAAUAAAUUUAAAAUUUAAUAAAAUAAUUUAAAUGGGUUAUCCGAACCCGGACUGAACCGGCAAAGAUCCAAACCCGAACUGAAAUUUAGAAAUACCCAAAUGGGGCUGAAAUUUUUGAACCUGAAAACCCGACACCCGAAUAGACCUGAACCGAACCUGAAUGGGUACCCGAACGCCCACCCGAAUUUGGUAAUUUUAAACUAAAUAUAAUUAAUAUUUUAAGGUAUAUAAAUUGUAUUUAAGAUAUUCGAGUACCCAUUCGGUUUUCGGUUUGAUUCAAAUCGGUUUCGGUCUUUCUGUUUCAGCGAUAUAGGAACCGUUAAAAUAUUUGUGAAUAUGAUUCAGUUUUGUUUUUUUUUAUGUUGUUUCUGUUCAGUUUUCGGUUUUCAAUUUAUACGCCAAUUGACUUCGGUUUGUACAAUUUGUCUAGUAUUUGAUAAAUAAUUGAUUUAAACUUAUUUUUAUUAACAAAGUUUAUAUAUUAAUACUGUUAUUAUAUAUUACUAUAUAAAAUUAGUUGCAAACUCGUGAUCUAAAUUUUGUAUGAUAUUUUUCUAUGAAUCUUAUUAAAUAUUUUAAUGACUAUGAACCGGGAAAUUUUUGUAGUUUUGUUUCAAAGAUAAUUGUAAUGUUUCUUUGACAAAUAGUUUAUAAUAUUCUUAUUUUGUAAUUAAGAUUAUUUAUAUUUGCUAUAUAAUUGUUUUUCGAACAUUAAACCUAAACAAAACUAAAAUGGGCCCGCAUAUUAAUUGAAAAAGGAAAAUUAAGCAAAGCCCACAUCAAACCACAUACGUAAAAAUCGACCCAAGACCAGUCGUUAUCUUUUGAUGUAAACCAAAACAUUAACCAAAACAAAUAUCUUCUUUCAGACAUCGGUUUGCAAACACAAAAAAAAAAAACAGAUUAUCUCUAAUGGUGAUUAUAGAGAGUUAUCGAGUCAUGGACGAUCUCCAGGGUAAAUCAUUUCUUUAUUUUCUUCAUCCUUGUUAGAAUAAUGAUUUUGAAUAUAGCAGGUUGUUUGCUAUCUUUUGCAUAUCGUGAACACAAAAUAUUACUUGCAAACUUUUUUUUUGGUUUUUGCAAUCUUUUGCAUGUCGUUUCAAAUCGGGUUUAAUGUGUACUCCUGAUGAAAUCAAGGCAGAUCUGAGGCAGUCAAAGAAAGAUCAUGGUGAACUCCUUCGAUUUGGCAUUAAUCUCACAAAAACUCCAAAGGUUUGUCACUUGAUAUGCUCGCUCAUAUAACGUGUUUCAUUACCUCAAUUUUUUUUUUGCUGAAAUGAAUUAAAAAAUAAGUAAAUAUUUUAUGUUUUACUUUUAAUAAAUCUCGAUUUUGUUUUAAAAUACUUUGAAAUACAAUUAUGUAAUUAUUUAAAAUAAAUAACUCAUUUUCAUAAAAUAUAAUGUAUUUAUUUAUAUGUUAGAGAUGGGUUUUAGGUUCGGGCCUUAUGCUUUUUUAAUUAAAACAUAUGGGCUCAAAGUUCAUUAAGUGAACCCAAAAAUAUAAUUUGUUUUCCUUUUUCAGAUUAGUAUUUGACAGAAGAAAAAUAAACAUUUAACUCUCAACAGUCGGUUCGUCUUUGCUUAAGAGAUGAAGAUGAAGAUCUCCCCCGACAAAAGCACCUAAUCAAAUCCGUAGGGUUACAUCUUUGUCUUUCUUCUUGAUCCAUAGCUAGCUCGUUCUGUUUAAACGUUUUAUGAAGAACAAACAAUAAUUUGAUCUAACUAAUUUUUUUGAUCUGUUUUGCAUGUUGUAUCCGAUGACUUAUAUUGUUAUUGCGAUGAGUGUUGUGAUGACUUCGAAGAAUCGAAUGCAUACUUCUUGAAAAUUUAUGCCAGACAAAUUAAUAUGGACCCCAAUACUCCGAAGGUGUGUACCACUUUGGCGUGGAUCAACCACGUCUUUUGCCAUGGCCUAAUCUGAUCAAGGAUCCAAUAUGUGACAUCGAUAUGUUUCAAUGUUGAAAAGUGAGCGUUGAUAAAGGCAACAAAAUUUUAGUUUCAAGAGCUAAGAAAAAAUGUACUUUAUAAGGAAUGAAGAACGAUUAUGGGUUUUUCUAAAACUUAGCUUGGUCCGAUGGGAAUGGAAAUUUUAAAUUAAAUUGUAGCUGGAUUAAAAGAUUUAUCGAUAAUAUAUCCAUAUAAUUAAAAAGCA